AACGCGAAGAACCUUACCAGGACUUGACAUCCUUGGAAUUUCUCCGAAAGGAGAGAGUGCUUUAUUGAACCAAGUGACAGGUGAUGCAUGGCCGUCGUCAGCUCGUGUCGUGAGAUGUUUGGUUAAGUCCAUCAACGAGCGCAACCCUUAUGUUUAGUUGAAUUUUUCUAAACAGACUGCCCUGGUAACAGGGAGGAAGGAGGGGAUGAUGUCAGGUCAGUAUUUCCCUUACGUCCUGGGCUACAAACACGCUACAAUGGCCGGUACAAAGGGCAGCCAAGUCGCGAGACGGAGCAAAUCCCAUCAAAGCCGGUCUCAGUUCGGAUUGCAGGCUGAAACUCGCCUGCAUGAAGUCGGAAUCGCUAGUAAUGGUAGUCAGCUAUACUACCGUGAAUACGUUCCCGGGCCUUGUA
rnacentral:rRNA from 1 species